ACAUGCAAGUCGAGCGGUAGAGAGAAGCUUGCUUCUCUUGAGAGCGGCGGACGGGUGAGUAAUGCCUAGGAAUCUGCCUGGUAGUGGGGGAUAACGUUCGGAAACGGACGCUAAUACCGCAUACGUCCUACGGGAGAAAGCAGGGGACCUUCGGGCCUUGCGCUAUCAGAUGAGCCUAGGUCGGAUUAGCUAGUUGGUGAGGUAAUGGCUCACCAAGGCGACGAUCCGUAACUGGUCUGAGAGGAUGAUCAGUCACACUGGAACUGAGACACGGUCCAGACUCCUACGGGAGGCAGCAGUGGGGAAUAUUGGACAAUGGGCGAAAGCCUGAUCCAGCCAUGCCGCGUGUGUGAAGAAGGUCUUCGGAUUGUAAAGCACUUUAAGUUGGGAGGAAGGGUUGUAGAUUAAUACUCUGCAAUUUUGACGUUACCGACAGAAUAAGCACCGGCUAACUCUGUGCCAGCAGCCGCGGUAAUACAGAGGGUGCAAGCGUUAAUCGGAAUUACUGGGCGUAAAGCGCGCGUAGGUGGUUUGUUAAGUUGGAUGUGAAAUCCCCGGGCUCAACCUGGGAACUGCAUUCAAAACUGACUGACUAGAGUAUGGUAGAGGGUGGUGGAAUUUCCUGUGUAGCGGUGAAAUGCGUAGAUAUAGGAAGGAACACCAGUGGCGAAGGCGACCACCUGGACUAAUACUGACACUGAGGUGCGAAAGCGUGGGGAGCAAACAGGAUUAGAUACCCUGGUAGUCCACGCCGUAAACGAUGUCAACUAGCCGUUGGAAGCCUUGAGCUUUUAGUGGCGCAGCUAACGCAUUAAGUUGNCCGCCUGGGGAGUACGGCCGCAAGGUUAAAACUCAAAUGAAUUGACGGGGGCCCGCACAAGCGGUGGAGCAUGUGGUUUAAUUNGAAGCAACGCGAAGAACCUUACCAGGCCUUGACAUCCAAUGAACUUUCUAGAGAUAGAUUGGUGCCUUUGGGAACAUUGAGACAGGUGCUGCAUGGCUGUUGUCAGCUCGUGUCGUGAGAUGUUGGGUUAAGUCCCGUAACGAGCGCAACCCUUGUCUUUAGUUACCAGCACGUUAUGGUGGGCACUCUAAGGAGACUGCCGGUGACAAACCGGAGGAAGGUGGGGAUGACGUCAAGUCAUCAUGGCCCUUACGGCCUGGGCUACACACGUGCUACAAUGGUCGGUACAGAGGGUUGCCAAGCCGCGAGGUGGAGCUAAUCCCAUAAAACCGAUCGUAGUCCGGAUCGCAGUCUGCAACUCGACUGCGUGAAGUCGGAAUCGCUAGUAAUCGCGAAUCAGAAUGUCGCGGUGAAUACGUUCCCGGCCCUUGUACACACCGCCCGUCACACCAUGGGAGUGGGUUGCACCAGAAGUAGCUAGUCUAACCUUCGGGAGGACG
rnacentral:rRNA from 1 species